CUUACACAUGCAAGUCGAGCGGUAAGGCCCUUCGGGGUACACGAGCGGCGAACGGGUGAGUAACACGUGGGUGAUCUGCCUUGCACUCUGGGAUAAGCCUGGGAAACUGGGUCUAAUACCGGAUAUGAGCCUGGACUGCAUGGUCUGGGUUGGAAAGGUUUACUGGUGCGAGAUGGGCCCGCGGCCUAUCAGCUUGUUGGUGGGGUAACGGCCUACCAAGGCGACGACGGGUAGCCGACCUGAGAGGGUGACCGGCCACACUGGGACUGAGACACGGCCCAGACUCCUACGGGAGGCAGCAGUGGGGAAUAUUGCACAAUGGGCGAAAGCCUGAUGCAGCGACGCCGCGUGAGGGAUGACGGCCUUCGGGUUGUAAACCUCUUUUGACAGGGACGAAGCGCAAGUGACGGUACCUGUAGAAGAAGCACCGGCCAACUACGUGCCAGCAGCCGCGGUAAUACGUAGGGUGCGAGCGUUGUCCGGAAUUACUGGGCGUAAAGAGCUUGUAGGCGGUUUGUCGCGUCGAUUGUGAAAACUUGCAGCUCAACUGCAAGCUUGCAGUCGAUACGGGCAGACUAGAGUACUUCAGGGGAGACUGGAAUUCCUGGUGUAGCGGUGAAAUGCGCAGAUAUCAGGAGGAACACCGGUGGCGAAGGCGGGUCUCUGGGAAGUAACUGACGCUGAGAAGCGAAAGCGUGGGUAGCGAACAGGAUUAGAUACCCUGGUAGUCCACGCCGUAAACGGUGGGUACUAGGUGUGGGUUUCCUUCCACGGGAUCCGUGCCGUAGCUAACGCAUUAAGUACCCCGCCUGGGGAGUACGGCCGCAAGGCUAAAACUCAAAGGAAUUGACGGGGGCCCGCACAAGCGGCGGAGCAUGUGGAUUAAUUCGAUGCAACGCGAAGAACCUUACCUGGGUUUGACAUACACCGGA
rnacentral:rRNA from 1 species